rnacentral:rRNA from 2 species
ACCUGCUGCUGGAUCAUU